rnacentral:lncRNA from 1 species
UUCAAGUCCUACUCAAUUUUCUGUUUCAUGCUGUUGGGAAAAUACAUCCCAUACAGUAUUCUACAGAACUCAUCCCAACUCAGCUGCGCCGCCACCAGUCCCUGAUCUCGCCUCGCUCUCCUCCACCAGUCACGUGCAUCACCUGACAAACAGUGUACUCCCAGUGGUACCUGCUCCCCCUCCGGAACGAACAGAUCCUUAAAUAACCUCUCCAUCGCACUGACCCAUCCCUCAACAACCCAGGCCUCAGUGCCGCUACCAUCGAAGAUCGGUG